ACAGCUCAGUUGGUUAGAGUGUGGUGCUGGCAACGCCAAGGUUGCAGGUUCGAUCCCCGGUAAGAGACA